UUUGGGCCACUGUUUUGUCUUGGUUAUUUCCUCUUCUCUCUAUACCCCCCUCAUAUCUCCUUCCUGUCACUCUUCAGAUUCUCCUUUCUUCCCAGUCUCAUCUAUCUUCCCCAUCUCUGCUCCCUUGUUCCAGUCCAGAUCUGACUGGGUUUCAACCCAAAAGGGCCUUGAGCAUUGUCUUUAUUGAAUGCUAUUUUUGGGUCAUAUAUCUUUAUUGCAUCCUCUCCACUCAGACCAGCCUAAACCACUAAUUGCUGAAUUUAUGGUUAUUGGAUUUAUUUAUGCUCUGGUGCAGUGGUGGGAACUUCCAGUAUUGCUGUGAGCUAUGGCAUGUUUCUUAUGUCGUCCCUGGGUACCAAUCCUUAGUUAGGUGCUAGAGAGUCUGAUAACUUAGCUAACUUUUAUGGUAUAGGCUAGGUACACAAAUCUUGUCUUACAAGUACUUUGAAAGUGUCUCUUCUCUCUACAUUCUCUUCCCCGAUUCAGCACGAUUGCUCUUUAUUUGACUAUUUUAGGGUUUUAUCACAGGUAGAAGAUGGAAGAGAAAUCAUUGACAAUAUUAACCUGUUUCCAUCACAGGCAUCGAUCCCAACAUCAAUGAUAUUUAUGGCAUAGCCACUGUCACGGAACGAACAGACUCCGAGAUAGGAAUACUUGGAACAGAGUUUAUUGCAGACAGAGAUAGCCAGGAACACACAGGACAGACAACAGGUUGCAGACACGGAGAUGCUGGUGCAGACACGGAGAUGCUGAGGGGUUAAUCCUCGAGAACACAGUCACAACCCAUGGAGGGGCGCAGGCUCGUAGCACUGCUGGGAACUGAGGGAACUGGCGAUCUAAUCGCAGAAAUGAACAAAGCAGAGGCAACCUCUGAGCGAACUAACUAUAACUGAAAACGCCGUUGCGGCACUAACUAAACAAGAACUAAGACUAUAAGCUAAACGGGAACUAAGGCGAUAAACGUAACUGAUUCGAACUAUGACGGGAGAGAAAGUAAUCCACAUGAAAGUCAGGCCGUGGGAAAUCCAAGGUUGUUAAUCCGUUGAAGUGCGAUACCAGACACCGAGUGAAGGGAGUGUGAGGUAUAUGUAGGGGCUGUGACAGGUGUGGGUGAUUAGGAACCCGGUGAGUGUAAACGCGGUGCAGGUGAGUGAGGAUACAGGUGUGGGUGAUUAGGAACCCGGUGAGUGUAAACGCGGUGCAGGUGAGUGAGGAUACAGGUGUAAGUGAUCAAUACUCCGGUGAGAGUGAGCGAGUGGAAACCAACGGGGGCGUGGCUGGUGCAGGUCCGGGCUCUGACGUGACAG
ensembl:lncRNA